rnacentral:misc_RNA from 1 species
GAUGAAGAACGUAGCGAAAUGCGAUAAGUAAUGUGAAUUGCAGAAUUCAGUGAAUCAUCGAAUCUUUGAACGCACAUUGCGCCCCCUGGCAUUCCGGGGGGCAUGCCUGUUCGAGCGUCAUUUCACCACUCAAGCCUCGCUUGGUAUUGGGCAACGCGGUCCGCCGCGUGCCUCAAAUCGACCGGCUGGGUCUUCUGUCCCCUAAGCGUUGUGGAAACUAUUCGCUAAAGGGUGUUCGGGAGGCUACGCCGUAAAACAACCCCAUUUCUAAGGUUGACCUCGGAUCAGGUAGGGAUACCCGCUGAACUUAAGCAUAUCAAUAAGCGGAGGA